GGUCCGCUGGCUCAAUGGCAGAGCGUCUGACUACGAAUCAGGAGGUUCCAAGUUCGACCCCUGGGUGGAUCG
rnacentral:tRNA from 1 species